rnacentral:rRNA from 1 species
UACGUAGGGGGCAAGCGUUGUCCGGAUUUAUUGGGCGUAAAGAGCUCGUAGGCGGUUCCGUAAGUCGAGUGUGAAAAAUCUGGGCUCAACCCAGUGGAGCACUCGAUACUGCGGUGACUGGAGUACGGUAGAGGAGUGUGGAAUUCCGUGGUGUAGCGGUGAAAUGCGCAGAUAUCAGGAAGAACACCCGUGGCGAAGGCGGCUCUCUGGGACGGUACUGACGCUGAGACGCGAAAGCGUGGGGAGCAAACAGG